UACGUAGGGCGCAAGCGUUAUCCGGAAUUAUUGGGCGUAAAGAGCUCGUAGGCGGUUUGUCGCGUCUGCCGUGAAAGUCCGGGGCUCAACUCCGGAUCUGCGGUGGGUACGGGCAGACUAGAGUGAUGUAGGGGAGACUGGAAUUCCUGGUGUAGCGGUGAAAUGCGCAGAUAUCAGGAGGAACACCAGCGGCGAAGGCGGUGCUCUGGGCCGGAACUGACGCUGAGGAGCGAAAGCGUGGGGAGCGAACAGG
rnacentral:rRNA from 1 species